rnacentral:lncRNA from 1 species
AGGGGAAGGAAGACAGCCCCCAGGCCCUCUGGGAGCAGGAGUGAGAGUCAGGGGCUCCAGCUGAUGGGCUAUGGACGGUAACUAAUAAUUGGUGAGAAGCAUGAUAGCAUGUCUAGAAGCACUGUGGCCUACUGGUUAAUUGCAUGAGUUGGAACCACACUACCAAGGUUCAAAGGACAAGGAACAACUCUACAGUUCCCGACUCUGUCACCCUAGCUUGGCUGGCCACUUAUAAGCAUGCUAAGUAGGCUUAGCAUGUCAACUUUUAUGAUGUAUCUCACCUAUUAUUUUGUGCGCUGAUGGUUAUACAUUCAAGGUAGGUGGAGUCUGAUCCUACAGUCGGGCCUUCAAUGAAUGUGAUGGGCAAAAGAGGGUGAAGAAACCAGGCUGCAGAUAACAAAGUCUGGUCUUCCAAAAGCCUCCUGGGAAGCAAACAACAACAACAGACAUUACAAAUAUUUUUGAGAAGGGGAUAUAUCCAUAUUGGAAACAUUCAACCAGUAUAGAAAGGUAUAGAGUGAAAACGACAUUUCCGUCUGACCCUAGAAACUUAUCUAGUCCUUCUUCUCAGGAGACUAGUUUCCUGAAAUAGUCCAUGCAUAUACAAGUGUAUGUGAAUGUGUAUGUGUAUAAUAUACAUACUAUCAUGCAACUCAAAUUAAUUCUGUUUGUUAUUUAUUAAGUUCUUAUGAUUUCCCAAGAACAAGGCUAGUACCUUCACAUAUGCUAUCUCAUUUAGUUCUAUAACAACCUUGUGCGGUAUCUGUUACUUUGACGAUUAUGCAAGUCAAAGGAAAUGGAGGCUUGGUGACAGGAGCCGCAUAAUUUGCCCAUGGCCACAGAAUUUGAGAGCACAGGAGCUGGGAAUCAAAUCAGGUCUGACUGGCCUUACAGGGGGUACACUCCCCACUACUUCAUGCUGCCUCUUAAAUGCUUAUUGGAAAAAUGUUUUCUGUGAAUUUUCUAAUUUGACCUUGGAAGGUCUAUUGUGGUCUCUCAAUGCUGAAAGGUAUUGUUAGAGACUGGAGAGACAAUCUGGGACAGAGUGAAUUUAUUGGGGGCUCUUGGCUCCUCCAUGUAUCCAUGGACCAUGUAUCCAUAGCUGUGCAUUUAUUACCAUCUGCUGUAGAAGUUGUGCUGGCUCCCAUGGAACGUGACUGGACUUGCUCGUAGCUCCAGCCUCUCUAAGCUGAGUGUGUGUGUUUGUGUGUGUGUGUGUGAGUGUAUGUUGGAAGUUUGGCUUAGGCCUGAGAAGCAGCCUGUUGUAGGUUUGCCAUCAGUAAAGACCAAAGGGGACAGUGGAAGGAAAUUUUGAUUGCUUGUUCAGACUUUGCCCAACCUCCUUUCCUUUUUGAUUUUACCAGUUUUUAUAAAAACUCAAAGAAGAGCCUGUCCCAGUGAAAGGAGUCACCUCUCAUUUUGUAAAGCUCUAAAACAUGACAAUAUUACUGACUUUGCUCUGUUAUUGUGAGGACCGAAGAUAAUAGUACAUGUUUGUGCUUCUCCAACUCAGAGUAGUUGUAACUUUGAUUCCACGGUUACACUUGUCAACCUCCAGAGAAGGCACAGGAUGGAUAAUGAUGUUCUAAACUAUGAAUGCACAGUGAAUUUGAAGAUAUCAUUGAUUUUAUUAAUUCAAAGAGAGCAUAAGGACAUUAUGGAGGAAAUAUAUCACAGUGGUUAAGGAAACAGCUUCUGGAGCCAGACUGUCUAGGUCCAAAUUCUGGCUCUGAUACUUGCUGGUUUGGCACUUUAUCUUUCAGGUGUCUUGAGGCAUCCAUCAUCCUGGAAGAAGACUAUGAUUUAUAACAGAAGGAAUGCAAAAAGAAAGAACAAGUUAAUAUUUCUCUUUUGGCAUGUCAAAUAGAAUUAUUCAGCAAGACAAUAACCUUGCAAGCCAGGCGUUGUCUUGAAAAACCAUUUCCAAAUUUCUUUAAUCCUUCCCUUUGGCUUUUCAACAAUGCAGCCUGAUUGAACCAGUUUAUGGAGUUCUCCCUAAGUGCAGAGAAAAUACCCAUAUCCUUUAUUAGGGUAUCUCUAAGAAACUGAAGUAUGGAGGGCAUGAUGCAGGGGAAAUCUGUCAUUUUGGGGCCCUUUGUGAUAGAGAGAAAGAGAGAGAAAGAGGAAGAAGAAGAUGAGAGAAUCAGUUUUGAUCAUGUAUUCUCCCAGCUUUGGCCCAGAAAAUAGGGAGGCCUAUUGGAUGAGUGGGGAUAUCACCAAGGGCAGAGGAAGCUUUUGUCCUUCUUCCUGCUUGAGACUCUGCAGAAUAGACUGUCAUCCUGGGGUGUGACCACAUCCACAUGGCAGUGUGGUAUGACCUGGCAGAGGGAGUCCUUGACACUUAGUUUUCCUGAGCCAUUCUUAUUUCCAGUGAGGCACAGAUGGACCCAGAAAAUGGUGGGAGUUUGGCUGGGGAGUAUUACCAAUGGGAGUCACCAUGGCUGGGCAAGGUCAAGGUACUCCGUAGCAAGGGCUGCCCAGUGGACCACCUGGGCCAGGCCAAUUGGAGUCACAGCAAAUGGGAAGGAGUCUAGACCCAAUAGAUGAGUCCAAAAAGCUGCAGAGAGCGAGAGCUAGCAAGGCAGUCCCCUGGGCUCUGAUCUGCUGAGGAAAACCUAGGCUGUAAGUUACUCUUGUACAGACACAGACUUCAGCUGUGAAUCCCAGUAGGGUAAGAUGCACGCAGGUGGAUCAGGGACUUCCACCUAACCCUGCCUAGAAGAGUAAGAGGAAUCUGACCUUUUGCCUGCCGCGAAGGUGUUCAAGCUCCACCUGUCCCUCUUCAUAUGCAGAUGUCAUCUUGGAGGGGAGCUAGAAGACUGAUGUGUUUGAGAAACUAAGCCUUUAUUUCCCCUCAGAGGGGACCAUUCUUUGAAGGGACCAUUUAAAUUAUCGUGUAAUACGAAGGUUCAAACUUUAUUAGAUAUUAAAACAAUCAGUUUGUCCUUUUGAAUGGCUUUUGGCUAUUUCCAAAAUUCAAAUCCGUUAGAAGACAAAGAUUAGACAUACUGAAAUGCUUCUAAAAAUAUUCUAACUGGUGAAUAUAUGAGAAAAGAAUUAACCUCAUUAAUUAUCCACUCGAAUGUAAACUAAAACACUAUUCUAUACUUCCUUCUUUGAAAUUCAUAAACGUUGGAAAAAAAUACAGAAAAUCUACUAGUUAGUAGGAAAAAAGUUGUAGACAGAACAAAGGGGCCACAUGCUCUUGGUCAAUCUGAGUUUUGAUGGAAGUUAAAUGUUGCUGCCCUGGCAUAACACUAACAUUUAUUAAGCACUUUGUCUGUGCCUGGUGCUGUUUUAAGAAAUUUAGGUGCAUUAUUUCACUAAACCUUGUCAAUAGCCUUAUGAAAUAUAUGCUAUCAUGGCCUCUUUUUAUCAAUGGGGAAACUGAGCCACAGAAAAAAUAAAUACCUUGUACAAUUAGAAAAUGGCAAUUUGCUGGGUGCGAGGGCUCACGCCUGUAAUCCUAGCACUUUGGGAGGCUGAGGGAGGAGUUCAAGACUAGCCUGGCCAACAUGGUGAAACCCCAUCUCUACUAAAAUACAAAAAUUAGCUGGGCGUUAUGGCGGGUGCCUGUAAUCCCAGCGACUCGGGAGGCUGAGACGGGAGAAUCACUUGAACCUGGGAGACGGUGGUCGCAGUGAGCCAAGAUUGCACCACUGCACUCCAGCCUGGGCAGCUGAGCAAGACUCCAUCUCAAAGAAAAAAAGAAAAAAAUGGCAAACUUAGGAUUUGAGUCCAGGAAGUCUGAUGUGAGGGCCACUGGCCUUAACCUCUGCCCUCUGCUUGCCCACAGGUUGGGACACACUGAAACCCUUCUUCCUAUGUGACAAACAUCAGGUCCUUACCACUGACUAGGGGGUGGGUGGGGAAUUCUAAACUAUUUCUUCUUGUCUCUAUUUCAGUUUUAAGCCUCUGUAACCUUAAUGCUUGUCGACAGAUCUGUUUGUUUUGAGGAUUGAUAUGAUAUUUCCGAAAACAACUAGCAAAGAUAUAGCUGCUUAAUCAUCAUUGCUUCUAGAACCCAAAUCUUGCUUAAUUAGACAAAUUAACACACUCUAUUCUUUGAAAAUAUCUAGGGAAGAACUUGCCACUUGCUUCCUGCCUUUGCAAGUGGAAUUUGCUGUCGAGGCUUCUCUGAAUAGCAUCACUGUCAGGCCCUGGAUCAUUUAUAUCACCUUAUCAGGGGCUGAGAGACUUUAGGGAAUCUUCCAGCCAAGCCCAAGAGAUUGGCUCUUGGGCUCCAGUGAUUGAUCCACCACAAGAAGAGCAUGCUCUUGGGUAGCUGCUGCCCCUUCAGCCUGGGCCCUGGAAUAAAAAUAUGUGGAGCAGACUUGACCACAGUUUGCCGCUACACUUAGCUGUCCAGCAGGCUGAAGUGGAGCUUCCCAGCCAAGCCUAGCCUGAAUUGACUGAACCAUCAUUGAUUUGCAGAUCUGUAAUUGUGAGAAUAAAUUCUUGUUGUCAAAAGCUAUUGAGUUUUGGGGUGUUUGUUAUGCAGCAUUAUGGAAACAAAAGCUGCCAA